UACGGAGGGUGCAAGCGUUAUCCGGAUUCACUGGGUUUAAAGGGUGCGUAGGUGGGUUGAUAAGUCAGUGGUGAAAUCCCCGAGCUUAACUUGGGAACUGCCAUUGAUACUAUUGAUCUUGAAUACCGUGGAGGUCAGCGGAAUAUGUCAUGUAGCGGUGAAAUGCUUAGAUAUGACAUAGAACACCAAUUGCGAAGGCAGCUGGCUACGCGAAUAUUGACACUGAUGCACGAAAGCGUGGGGGAUCAAAACAGGG
rnacentral:rRNA from 1 species